GGGCGGUUAGCUCAGGGGGAGAGCGCUACCUUGACACGGUAGAGGCCGCUGGUUCGAUCCCAGCACCGCCCA
rnacentral:tRNA from 1 species